rnacentral:rRNA from 1 species
ACGUCCGACGGUGAGGGGUGAAAGCUGGGGGAGCAAACCGGAUUAGAUACCCGGGUAGUCCCAGCUGUAAACGAUGCGCGUUAGGUGUAUCAGUGACCACGAGUCACUGAGGUGCCGAAGAGAAAUCGUGAAACGUGCCGCCUGGGAAGUACGGUCGCAAGGCUGAAACUUAAAGGAAUUGGCGGGGAGCACCACAACAGGUGGAGCCUGCGGUUUAAUCGGACUCAACGCCGGAAAUCUCACCAGAUAAGACAGCUGAAUGAUAGUCGGGCUGAAGACUCUACUUGACUAGCUGAGAGGAGGUGCAUGGCCGUCGUCAGUUCGUACUGUGAAGCAUCCUGUUAAGUCAGGCAA